rnacentral:snRNA from 1 species
GUGUUCGCUUCAGCAGCACAUAUACUAAAACUGAAAUGAUACAGAGAAGAUUAGCAUGGCCCCUGCACAAAGAUGAUACGCAAAUUCGUGAAGUGUUCCAUAUUUUU